rnacentral:rRNA from 1 species
AUGAAGACCCAAUGUCGAAUCAUCAUGGCAUGUGCACUCUUGCAUAACCUUAUAUUGCAAAAGAUGUCUAUCGACGCACUUGAUAUCAACGAGCCAAUAAUACAAGAAACAUUAGAAGAAAUGGAGGGAGAAUUGGAUCAACCAGAAUUCAUCACUUCUAUCUCAACUUCGAAUGAGUGGACAAAUUUUCGGAAUGAACUUGCUCAGGGCAUGUAUAAUAGACAUAGGGCUUCUAGGGCGCAUUGA